rnacentral:rRNA from 1 species
GACGAACGCUGGCGGCGUGCUUAACACAUGCAAGUCGAACGAAGUGGCGAACGGGUGAGUAACGCGUAAUCAACCUGCCCUUCAGAGGGGGACAACAGUUGGAAACGACUGCUAAACCCACAUACUGAAGUAGGGCGUUGCGUCUGAUUAGCUAGUUGGAGGGGUAACGGCCCACCAAGGCGAUGAUCAGUAGCCGGUCCGAGAGGAUGAACGGCCACAUUGGGACUGAGACACGGCCCAGACUCCUACGGGAGGCAGCAGUGGGGAAUCUUCCGCAAUGGACGAAAGUCUGACGGAGCAACGCCGCGUGAGUGAUGACGGCCUUCGGGUUGUAAAGCUCUGUUAAUCGGGACGCGGUACCGGAAUAGAAAGCCACGGCUAACUACGUGCCAGCAGCCGCGGUAAUUC